AAAAAUAAAAAUCUUUAAAAUUCAAGCUCCUCAAGGAGGGGUGACUCUUCAAAACAAGGGCAGAUGGCAGGCUGUGUCAAAAAAUUACCAACGUCAGGACCAAAAAGACAUGAUUGUACCAUAAUAUGUACAUUUUAGAUGGUGAGGACAUUUAGUAAGUAUCAUUUACUCUUCCCCUCGGUAUUGUUUGUUGCCCGGCAUCCGUUUGUACUCUGAACAGGGGUGUUAUUUUAGGCCAACCCUCUCCCAGUGGCCGGUCCCUCCAGAUCCGUUGGCUCCAGCUUUUCCUGUCCCUGGUACAUCCUCAACAUUUCUCCCCUCUGUCCACUCUUCGCUCUCGCGCGGCUGCUUGAGUUUAGGCUCGGAGAGCUUACUGUCUGGAUGCCUGCUACCCCAGAGGGAGCACAGGACCCCAGGGAGAGUGGAGGGGGCUCUCUCAGGUCCUCCCUCUGCCCACAGGCAACAGAGCAUCUGCGAAGAGGCAGCCACCUCUCACUGCUCCGGGACUGCCUUCCCAAAGGCGGCCGAGUACUCCUGCUUUCAGCUUCCUCACUGACCAUCUGUGAUUUCUUUCCAGAAAAGUACUGCCAUUCCUUCACCUGGUGGAAGCCAGAAGAGGAGAGGGCGCUGGGUCCUGAGGGUCCCAGGCCGGUUCUCCCCUGUCAUUUUCCUCUGCAUCUCUUUCCCCUGCCUGAAGGAUUUCUACGUAUCCAUCCUGCCUGGUGGGAAUUCCUCUAACCUCGUAUCUUCCUUCUCCUCGAGAACAGCUGCCUCAAAGCUCCGCUACAGCCGUUCCCAUCCCUCCUCUUGGUCCUCCCUUCCCGCCUUCCAGAGUGAGGAUGCAUCCUUUGACUCUGCUCAGCAAACCUAGGAUGGGGACAAGGGACGCGUGCAGUUGAGGAAGUAAGGGACGAAAACAGUCGCUACCCUCAAGGAACUUCUGAUUUCGUGGGGAGAUACGGACAGCCCCGGAUUCCCGAGAUCCCGGGCCCGCGCGCCCCCUGCUGGCCGUGCCUCGUCUGCGCAGCCUUUUCCCUCGGGAGCUGCAGGAGGCCCAACUAGGGACUUUCUUCCACGGAGGUACCCCCCCUCCCCCUGGCGUGCUAUUGCUGUAAACAGGACUCCGGUGGUCUGCUAUCAAAUCUCAGAACUCCUCAAAGCUGUAAAACAGGCAAAUGCACAAAGAAGGAUCUGGGACCUGCACUCGAUGUCCACCCUCUGGCCACGUCUGAUCCGCGAAGCCUCUCCGCUGCAGGCUGGCUGGAGCCCUGGUGAAAGGUGGCUUCUCUUCCAUCUAGGCAGCUAUGACGAGAGAAGUGCCCCACUUGAGGCCGGUUGAAAGGAAGCUGGGCUGUGGAUGCAGCUGACAUCUAGGAAGGAAGGCAGAGCUGAGAGAAUAGCAGAAUAUGGUGCUAGAGCCCUGAUCAUGCAAUGCCUGAAGCCUGAACUACCCCAGUUACCUCUGAAGGAGCUAAUAAAUCACCUUGUAUUUCAAGCCAAUUUUGAUAGGGCUUUCUGACCCUUGUGGCCAAAAACACUCUAACAUAUGCAGUCUGCAUGGUGUUAGGAGUUUGGUUUUAACCCCAAGAAGAGUGGAAUGUCAUUUUGAGGUUUCAGCACGGAGAGCCCAGGGAGAGGGUAAACGAGUCAGAUCUGCAUUUCAAAGCAUGUCUUUGGCAGCAGGGUGGAAACGGGUUAGUAGGGAGCUGAAGUGGCUGCAGUUAGGGGCCUUACUGUGCUAGUCCUGGUGAGAGGUUAUAGAGGAGAGAAGAGAUCUGGGAGAUUUUCAGGAAAUUGGGUAACUUUGGUAGAAGUCAGUAAGGUAGUAGGGUUGACAAGCCUUAGUGAUGGUUUGGGGGGAGAGGAUGGGGGUGUCAGGGGUGACCUCUCGGUUUGUGACUUGCUCAGCUGGAUGGAUAGGGGUGCUACCCACCAUGACAGGGCUCUUGUUGAGGAAAAAAGAUUGAACACUGAGAGUGUCAGGUUGCUGGAGAAGCCGGACUUCAGCUGGAGAAGCAACAGCCGUGCUAGCCGUUAACCGACUGUGUUUACCUGGAUAAACUCAGGAGCACAAUGGCCUCAUUGCCACUUUACAGAUGAGGAAACCGAGGCAUGGAGAGGUUAGUAACUUCUCUCAGGCCAUACAAUCAGCUAGAAAAUGAGAUUUGAACCCAAGCUGUUUGUCCCCAUGAAGCACCCAAGGAAUAUACGCACCAGGAAGGUUCAGAUGAGAAACAGCAGGUAGUACGGUACUAUUUUCUGAGGCCUGAGCCCCCACCUCCAAAGCAGAGCACUCUAGGAAGCUGGAUUUUAAUUCCUGGCCCAGCUCCCCUUUCCUAAGUCAGUUAACACCUCGGUGGCUUCUGACUAAGCAGCCUGGAUCCAUAUCCCAGGGCCAGCCCCCCUAGCGGAGCCUCUGCCCCAGCCGCCCAGGGACCACAGCUUCAGCCUGCUGCUGUCAGCAGGGUGGAAGGGUGCCAGGCAGAAGGAAGGCAUGGGUGAGCCCGCUCAGGGGCAGGGCCAGCCUACACUGCGGUCACCCAGAAAGGGAGAAAGGAGAGAGCCAUCCUGGGUGCUCCGGGUCCUUGGAAAGCACCGCCAUUAGAAGUCUGUGCCCUGGAGUCGAUCCAUUCUCCUCUGCACCUAUGGGGAUGUACUUCUUCAUCCUGGCUUGCCUUGUCAACACACAGUGCCAAGCAAUGUCCUCAGCAGCAGCCUUCCAGUGACAGAGCUUUCCUGAGCCCUGUCCUAGAGCAUCCCUCCGUGGAGAGGACUGCAGGGGCCAGUCCGGCACCAAGGCUCCUGAAUGCGGGGGAGACGGACACAGCUCUGUCACCACACUUCAUCAUCUCCUUCAUCACCAUCAUCAGCGCUUUUCAGUUUACUAAGUGAAUAUACCGAGCUUACUGUUUAACAUCGUAACCCCAAAUGCCAGAUGGGGGCUCCCUUCCUCUUGAGAUCUAUGUGAAAUCACACUGAUAUCCCCGCAAACACACAGACACAUAAAUUCCCAAGUCAAUGACUAUCUAAAAGAUCCACCCUUCACUCCAUUCCUACUAAAUUGGUAGCAGGGAAGAGGUUUUGUUUCUCAGAUUUUCUGCCCCAUGGGCACCCUC